GUGUCAGCAGUCGAGAAUCCUCCGCAAUGCGCGAAGCGCGACGGGUUACCCGAGUGCCGUCCGCUGAGGACGGCUUUGCCAGUGUAGCCAGCUGGGCGAAUAAGGAGAGGGCAAGUCUGGUGUCAGCCGCCGCGGUAAUACCAGCUCUCCGAGUGGUGGGGACGCUUAUUGGGCCUAAAGCAUCCGUAGCCGGUCUGGCAAGUCCCUUGUUAAAUCC
rnacentral:rRNA from 1 species